UUGAACGCUGGCGGCAGGCCUAACACAUGCAAGUCGAGCGGUAACACAGAGAGCUUGCUCUCGGGUGACGAGCGGCGGACGGGUGAGUAAUGUCUGGGAAACUGCCUGAUGGAGGGGGAUAACUACUGGAAACGGUAGCUAAUACCGCAUAACGUCGCAAGACCAAAGUGGGGGACCUUCGGGCCUCAUGCCAUCAGAUGUGCCCAGAUGGGAUUAGCUAGUAGGUGGGGUAACGGCUCACCUAGGCGACGAUCCCUAGCUGGUCUGAGAGGAUGACCAGCCACACUGGAACUGAGACACGGUCCAGACUCCUACGGGAGGCAGCAGUGGGGAAUAUUGCACAAUGGGCGCAAGCCUGAUGCAGCCAUGCCGCGUGUGUGAAGAAGGCCUUCGGGUUGUAAAGCACUUUCAGCGGGGAGGAAGGCGGUGAGGUUAAUAACCUCACCGAUUGACGUUACCCGCAGAAGAAGCACCGGCUAACUCCGUGCCAGCAGCCGCGGUAAUACGGAGGGUGCAAGCGUUAAUCGGAAUUACUGGGCGUAAAGCGCACGCAGGCGGUCUGUCAAGUCGGAUGUGAAAUCCCCGGGCUCAACCUGGGAACUGCAUUCGAAACUGGCAGGCUAGAGUCUUGUAGAGGGGGGUAGAAUUCCAGGUGUAGCGGUGAAAUGCGUAGAGAUCUGGAGGAAUACCGGUGGCGAAGGCGGCCCCCUGGACAAAGACUGACGCUCAGGUGCGAAAGCGUGGGGAGCAAACAGGAUUAGAUACCCUGGUAGUCCACGCCGUAAACGAUGUCGAUUUGGAGGUUGUGCCCUUGAGGCGUGGCUUCCGGAGCUAACGCGUUAAAUCGACCGCCUGGGGAGUACGGCCGCAAGGUUAAAACUCAAAUGAAUUGACGGGGGCCCGCACAAGCGGGGGAGCAUGUGGUUUAAUUCGAUGCAACGCGAAGAACCUUACCUGGUCUUGACAUCCACAGAACUUUCCAGAGAUGGAUUGGUGCCUUCGGGAACUGUGAGACAGGUGCUGCAUGGCUGUCGUCAGCUCGUGUUGUGAAAUGUUGGGUUAAGUCCCGCAACGAGCGCAACCCUUAUCCUUUGUUGCCAGCGGUUAGGCCGGGAACUCAAAGGAGACUGCCAGUGAUAAACUGGAGGAAGGUGGGGAUGACGUCAAGUCAUCAUGGCCCUUACGACCAGGGCUACACACGUGCUACAAUGGCAUAUACAAAGAGAAGCGACCUCGCGAGAGCAAGCGGACCUCAUAAAGUAUGUCGUAGUCCGGAUUGGAGUCUGCAACUCGACUCCAUGAAGUCGGAAUCGCUAGUAAUCGUAGAUCAGAAUGCUACGGUGAAUACGUUCCCGGGCCUUGUACACACCGCCCGUCACACCAUGGGAGUGGGUUGCAAAAGAAGUAGGUAGCUUAACCUUCGGGAGGGCGCUUACCACUUUGUGAUUCAUGACUGGGGUG
rnacentral:rRNA from 1 species